rnacentral:pre_miRNA from 1 species
CUGAUAUUCACAGGUUGUUGACAACAGCGGGGAGUGGGGAGAGGUCAGGAACGCGGGCACAGGCGAGUGCUUUCUCCUCUCCUCGGUCCUUCCCCCGUGGACUCUUGUCCUGCAGCUUCCUCUCCCUUCUAGUUGAUUGCCGUGG